rnacentral:rRNA from 1 species
ACGCUGGCGGCGUGCCUAACACAUGCAAGUCGAACGGUAACAGGGACUUCGGUCCGCUGACGAGUGGCGCACGGGUGAGUAACGCGUGGAUAUCUGCCUAUUAGUGGGGGACAACUACAGGAAACUGUAGCUAAUACCGCAUAAUCUCUACGGAGCAAAGCAGGGGACCUUUCGGGGCCUUGCGCUGAUAGAUGAGUCCGCGUCUGAUUAGCUAGUUGGUAAGGUAAAAGCUUACCAAGGCGAUGAUCAGUAACUGGUUUGAGAGGAUGAUCAGUCACACUGGAACUGAGACACGGUCCAGACUCCUACGGGAGGCAGCAGUGGGGAAUAUUGCACAAUGGGGGAAACCCUGAUGCAGCGACGCCGCGUGCGGGAAGAAGGCCUUCGGGUUGUAAACCGCUUUCAAUUGGGAAGAAGAGAUGAGUACUAAUAAUGCUCUGAUUUGACGGUACCUUUAGAAGAAGCACCGGCUAAUUUCGUGCCAGCAGCCGCGGUAAUACGAAAGGUGCAAGCGUUGUUCGGAUUUACUGGGCGUAAAGAGAUCGUAGGUGGUUUAUUAAGUCGGAUGUGAAAUCCCGGGGCUCAACCCCGGAACUGCAUUCGAUACUGAUAGGCUAGAGUUUGGGAGGGGUAAGCGGAAUUCCGUGUGUAGCAGUGAAAUGCGUAGAUAUACGGAGGAACACCUGAGGCGAARGCGGCUUACUGGACCAAUACUGACACUGAGGAUCGAAAGCGUGGGUAGCAAACAGGAUUAGAUACCCUGGUAGUCCACGCCCUAAACGAUGUCAACUAGCCGUAGCGGGUAUCGACCCCUGCUGUGGCGAAGCUAACGCGAUAAGUUGACCGCCUGGGGAGUACGGUCGC